rnacentral:lncRNA from 1 species
CUCUUAUCCAGAGCGACUUACAGUAGUGAAUGCAUACAUUUCAUACAAUUUCAUACAUUUUUUUUCGUGUGUGUGUGUGUGUGUGUGUGUGUGUGUGUGUGUGUGUGUAAAAUGUGCAGCUUCACUGUUUUCAAGGGAACUGCUUUUUCACAGUCAACCUGAAUCCCAAACAGUGGGCGAAUGUGCUUUUCUCUACAGUUUCCAUGAGGGCAUUCCAUCUGCUUCCUGCCAUUCUUCCACAGGAAAUUCUGGGAACAGCGUCAGACAGGCCAUGGCAACCACUCCCACCUCACACUGAACCCACGGUAGAGGGCAAGUAACUACUAACCACCACUCUAUGCAACACGACGGCAACAUCUCGCUUCCAGGACCUUAACCAUACUCUCUCAUUAACACAGGCAAAUACACACAGACACACACUCAGGCCACAAGUUGAGAGAGCUGCCAUACACGGACACACUCAGAGAGACUCCAUACUCUCUCUAGUACGUUCAUGACAGUGGGUUCUCUUGCCCUGAGUGACCCCACACAUUUUACACAUUCAAUAAUACAUACACACAGUGGGAAUUUGCAAAGCUCCAGACAGAGGAAAAGCUGUGGAUUUGGACAUGGAUCUGCUUCUGUAUCCUGUCCCUCUGCUGAGUGUGUUUCUCCUCAUUCCAGCAGUUUCAGCCCAAUCUGCCAUCAAUCAGACCAACCAGAUAGAGGUUUCCAUGGUGACCUCACCCACAACACUGUCAUCCAACACUAUUCAUGUGGCUGGCAGCGUAACCACCCCAACUACAGCCCAUCCAAUGACUGAUGUGACAUCAUCCCCAGCACUCUCACCGCCAGGGAACAACCCUCUUGUGACAACCCUCAGUGUCCUGCAAUCAACAACCUCACCUGGAAAUGACAGCAGUGACAAUGAGGCACCCACAUCCUCACUUCGACUAUCGUGUCCUAAUGUCAGAAGCUCUGCUCAGACUAAAAUACCUAGUACGCACUCACAAGACACUGCUGCUGGACCAGUCUUAGGAUCAACAGCUGCUGCAACAGCAACUACUUCGACCUCUGUGACUUCCCCUGAGGGACCCAAAGGGACACACACAGACAUCCCUCCCACUCAGUCACCGGACAAGAGCCUCACCAUGCUCGCCUUUGGUGUCAUGAGUUUAAUCCUCAUUCUCGUCAUUAUCAUGGUGGUUUUAGUAACAGUGGUCAACCUAAAAGACAAGUGCAGCAACUCCAAGGAGGAAGGUAAAAAGAGCAGUGAUUCUGUGGUGUCUGAAAGCAAUGUCACGUUUAGUGGAGAAAAAGAGAGCAUCACUUUGAUCUCCAUGAAGACCAUUAACACAGAAACUGACACAGACUCCCCCCAGGUCUCCUCCAUUCACAGUACAACACUGGACUAUGAGGAGCAGGAGCUAAACACAGACCUACUGAACAAUAAGCUGGUGUGAAAAUAAAGACCCUAGAUGUUCCGUUCCAAAACACAGAAAUCACCAAACUACUCAAACAAAAUAGUACAGUGAUUGUUCUAUACAUCUGAGAUCAAGUUACCUGGAGUCCACACAGGACCUGAAUUCAUACCUGUGGGGAUAUUAUACAUUAAGCUAGAACUAGGCCUAUCGUUGUGUCUCAUGUUGCCAUUCUAAUACAAAUAUCACAUGUAUUUGUGUGAUGAUAUCAAAACUGCCUUUAUGGAGAUAAUGUUGUGUGUUCUGUUUCAUAUAUUUUGUAAUUUUAUUUCACCUUUAUUUAACCAGGUAGGCCAGUUGAGAGCAAGUUCUCAUUUACUACUGCGACCUGGCCAAGAUAAAGCAAAGCAGUGCGACAAAAACAACACAGAGUUACACAUGGGAUAAACAAACGUACAGUCAAUAACACAAUAGAAAAAUCUGUAUACAGUGUGUGCAAAUUAAGUAAGGAGAUAAGGCAAUAAAUAGGCCAAUAGUGGUGAAGUAUUUCAAAUUUAGCAAUUUACACUGGAGUGAUAUGUGCAGAUGAGGAUGUGCAAGUAGAAAUACUGGUGUGCAAAAGAGCAGAAAAACAAAAACAAAUAUGGGAGGAGGUAGGUAGUUGGUUGGAUGGGCUAUUUACAGAUGGGCUGUUUACAGCUGCAGCGAUCAGUAAGCUGCUCUGAUAGCUGACGCUUAAAGUUAGUGAGGGAGAUAUGUCUCCAACUUCAGUGAUUUUUGCAAUUCGUUCCAGUCAUUGGCAGCAGAGAACUGGAAGGAAAGGCAGCCAAACGAGGUGUUGGCUUUGGGGAUGACCAGUGAAAUAUACCUGCUGGAGUGCAUGCUACGGGUGGGUGUUGCUAUGGUGACCAGUGAGCUGAGAUAAGGCGGAGCUUUACCUAGCAAAAACGUAUAGAUGACCUGGAGCCAGUGGGUUUGGCGACGAAUUGGCGACGAAUAUGUAGCGAGGACCAGCCAAUGAGAGCAUACAGGUCACAGUGGUGGGUAGUAUAUGGGGCUUUGGUGACAAAACUGAUGGCACUGUGAUAGACUGCAUCCAAUUUGCUGAGUAGAGUGUUGAGGCUAUUUUGUAAAGGACAUCGGCGAAGUCAAGGAUCGGUAGGAUAGUCAGUUUUACGAGGGUAUGUUUGGCAGCAUGAGUGAAGGAGGCUUUGUUUCGAAACAGGAAGCCGAUUCUAGAUUUAACUUUGGAUUGGAGAUGCUUAAUGUGAGUCUGGAAGGAGAGUUUACAGUCUAACCAGACACCUAGGUAUUUAUAGUUGUCCACAUAUUCGAAGUCAAAACCGUCCAGAGUAGUGAUGCUAGUCAGGCGGGCGGGUGCGGGCAGCGAUCAGUUGAAGAGCAUGCAUUUCGUUUUACUUGCGUUUAAGAGCAGUUGGAGGCCACGGAAGGAGUGUUGUAUGGUGUUGAAGCUCGUUUAGAAGUUGUUAACACAGUGUCCAAAAUAGGGCCAGAUGUGUACAGAAUGGUGUCGUCUGUGUAAAGGUGGAUCAAAGAAUCACCCACAGCAAGAGUGACAUCAUUGAUAAAUACAGAGAAAAGAGUUGGCUCGAGAAUUGAACCCUGUGGCACCCCCAUAGAGACUGCCAGAGGUCCGGACAACAGGCCCUCCAAUUUGACACACUGAACUCUAUCUGAGAAGUAGUUAGUGAACCAGGCGAAGCAGUCAUUUGAGAAACCAAGGCUGUUGAAUCUGCCGAUAAGAAUACGGUGAUUGACAGAGUCGAAAGCAUUGGCCAGAUCGAUGAAGACGGCUGCACAGUACUGUAUUUUAUCGAUGGCGGUUAUGAUAUCGUUUAGGACCUUGAGUGUGGCUGAGGUGCACCCGUGACCAGCUCGGAAACCAGACUGCAUAGCGGAGAAGGUACGGUGGGAAUCGAAAUCGUCGGUGAUCUAUUUGUUCACUUGGCUUUCGAAGACUUUAGAAAGGCAGGGCAGGAUUGAUUUAGGUUGGUAACAGUUUGGGUCUAGAGUGUCUCCCCAUUUGAAGAGGCUGCUUUCCAAUCUUCAGGAUCUCAGACGGUACGAAAGAGAGGUUGAACAGACUAGUAAUAGGUGUUGCAGCAAUUGCGGUGGAUAAUUUUCGGAAGAGAGGGUCCAGAUUGUCUAGCCCAGCUGAUUUGUAGGGAUCCAGACUUUGCAGCUCUUUCAGAACAUCAUCUGUCUGGAUUUGGGGCUUGGGCCAGUUGCUACAGGGGGUGCAGAGCUGUUGGCCGGGGUUGGGGUAGCCAGGUGGAAAGUAUGGCCAGCCGUAGAGAAAUGCUUAUUGAAAUUCUCGAUUAUCGUGGUGACAUUGUUUCCUAGUCUCAGUGCAGUGGGCAGCUGGUAGGAGCUACUCUUAUUUUCCAUGGACUUAGUGCUGCAGGAUGCACAUUUCUGUUUGAAAAAGCUAGCCUUUGCUUUCCUCACCGUGUGUAUUGGUUCCUGACUUCCCUGAAAAGUCGCAUAUCGCGGGAACUAUUCGAAGCUAGUGCAGUAUGCCACAGGGUGUUUUUGUGCUGGUCAAAGGCAGUCAAGUCUGGAGUGAACCAAGGGCUAUAUCUGUUGUUAGUUAAAAAAAUUGGGAAGGGGCAUGCUUAUUUAAGAUGGUGAGGAAAGCACUUUUAAAGAACAACAGGCAUCCUCUACUGACGGGUGAGGUCAAUAUCCUUCCAGGAUACCCAGGCCAGGUCAAUUAGAAAGGCCUGCUCGCAGAAGUGUUUUAGGGAGCGUUUGACAGUGAUGAGGGGUGGUCGUUUGACCGCGGACCCAUAACGGUGGCAGGCAAUGAGGCAGUGAUCGCUGAGAUCCUGGUUGAAAACAGCAGAGGUGUAUUUAGAGGGCAAGUUGGUCAGGAUGAUAUCUAUGAGGGUGCCCAUGUUUACGGAUUUAGGGUUGUACCUGGUAGGUUCCUUGAUAAUUUGUGUGAGAUUGAGGGCAUCUAGCUUAGAUUGUAGGACAGCUGGGGUGUUAAGCAUAUCCCAAUUUAGGUCACCUAGCAGUACGAACUCUGACGAUAGAUGGGUGGCCUUCAAUUCAUAUAUGGUGUCCAGGACACAGCUGGGAGCUGAGGGGGGUCUAUAACAAGCGGCAACAGCGAGGGACUUAUUUCUGGAGAGAUGGAUCUUUAAAAGUAGAAGCUCGAACUGUUUGGGCAUAGACCUGGAUAGUAUGACAGAACUCUGCAGGCUAUCUCUACAGUAGAUUGCAAUUAUGCCCCCUUUAGCAGUUCUGUCUUGACGGAAAAUGUUGUAAUUGGGGAUGGACAUUUCAGAAUUUUUGGUGACCUUCCUAAGCCAGGAUUCAGUCACGGCUAGGACAUCAGGGUUGGUGAAGUGUGCUAAAGCAGUGAAUAAAGCAAACUUAGGGAGGAGGCUUCUGGUGUUAACAUGCAUGAACCCAAGGCAUUUGCGGUUGCAGAAGUCAGCAAAUGAGAGCACCUCGGGACACACAGGGCCUGGGUUAACCUCUACAUCACCAGAGGAACAGAGGAGGAGUAGGAUGACGGUACGGCUAAAGGCUAUAAGAACUGGUUGUCUAGUGCUUUGGGAACAGAGAAUAAAAGGAGCAGAUUUCUGGGCGUGGUAGGAUAGAUUCAGGGCAUAGUGUACAGACAAGAGUAUGGUAGGGUGUGAGUACAGUGGGGGUAAACCUAGGCAUUGAGUGACAAUGAGAGAGGUUGUAUCUCUGGAGGCGCCAGUUAAGCUAGGUGCGGUCUCCACAUGUGUGGGGAUGGGACAAGGGGGCUAUCUGAGUGAUGUUGAGCGGGACUAGGAGCUCCGCAGUAAAAUAAAACAAGGAGUGCUGCCCUAAACAACAGUAUACAAGGCAUAUUAACAUUAGAGAAAGGCAUAAAGCAAUCAGGGGUGGUAGGGUAGCCUAGUGGUUAGAGCGUCAAAUAGUAACCGUAAGGUUGCAAGAUCGAAUCCCCGAGCUGACAAGGUAAAAGUCUGUUGUUGUUCCCCUGAACAAGGCAGUUAACCCACUGUUCCUAGGCUGUCAUUGAAAAUAAGAAUUUGUUCUUAAAUAAAGGUGUUUAUUGGGAGAGCUAAGACAACAAUGGUUAAAGAGCUAGGACAACAACAAUGGGUAAAUGGCAAUGAAUGGGCAGAGAGGGUCAGUUAGCUACACACAGGGCCUGAGGCUGGGGUUGACAGAUAAACAAAAUGAAGUACUGUGUUAAUGAACUGUCCAGCAGGGAUCAGCUGUGUAGCCAAGAGAUCAUAGGGUCCAAUGAGCAGCAAUAGAUGAAACAGGGAGCAGUUUGGUAGUCGAUUAUAACACUAGGCGAGUGGGAGACAAGGUGUUCAGGAAGCUAGCGGGCCGGUGCCUAGCAGAUGGAUCAUCACCAACAUCCACAACCCAGAGGCUGGUUGAGAUCACAUUGGCUGAAUUAUAUCAGCAGACCAGUUGUGAUGGAUUGGUGGAGGGUCCAGGCCUAUACAAUGAGGGAAAAAAGUAUUUGAUCCCCUGCUUAUUUUGUACGUUUGCCCACUGACAAAGAAAUGAUCAGUCUAUAAUUUUAAUGGUAGGUUUAUUUGAACAGUGCGAGACAGAAUAACAACAAAAAAACGCAUGUCAAAAAUGUU